UACGUAGGGAGCGAGCGUUGUCCGAAGUUACUGGGCGUAAAGCGCGCGUAGGCGGGCCAUUAAGUGAGAGGUGAAAUUCCAGGGCUCAACCCCGGAACUGCCUCUCAUACUGUUGGUCUUGAGUGAGGUAGAGAGAAGUGGAAUGGCUGGUGUAGCGGUGAAAUGCGUAGAUAUCAGUCGGAACACCGGUGGCGAAGGCGGCUUCUUGGGCCUUUACUGACGCUGAGGCGCGAAAGCCAAGGGAGCGAACGGG
rnacentral:rRNA from 1 species